rnacentral:rRNA from 1 species
UACGUAGGGUGCAAGCGUUUAAUCGGAAUUACUGGGCGUAAAGCGUGCGCAGGCGGUUAUGUAAGACAGAUGUGAAAUGCCCGGGCUUAACCUGGGAACUGCAUUUGUGACUGCAUGGCUAGAGUUUGGCAGAGGGGGGGUAGAAUUCCACGUGUAGCAGUGAAAUGCGUAGAUAUGUGGAGGAACACCGAUGGCGAAAGGCAGCCCCCUGGGUCAAGACUGACGCUCAUGCACGAAAGCGUGGGGAGCAAACGAGG